rnacentral:misc_RNA from 1 species
GUGAAUCAUCAAAUCUUUGAACGCAAAUUGCACUCUCUUCGGAGAGUAUGCCUGUUUGAGGGUCAGCCUAUAAAAAAUCGACAUCGUUGCUGUUUCACGGUGGCGUUCGUCGAAAAUUGGGUUAUCUUAAAUCUUUGGUUUAUGCGACUUAAAAUAUUCUUUACGUUUCUAUGUACGUGUCCA